rnacentral:rRNA from 1 species
CCUACGGGUGGCAGCAGUGGGGAAUAUUGCACAAUGGGGGAAACCCUGAUGCAGCGACGCCGCGUGAGUGAAGAAGUAUUUCGGUAUGUAACGCUCUAUCAGCAGGGAAGAAAUAGCGACCUUUGGGUCGCCAGACGGUACCUGAUUAAGAAGACCCGGCUAACUACGUGCCAGCAGCCGCGGUAAUAAGUAGGGGGCAAGCGUUAUCCGGAUUUACUGGGUGUAAAGGGAGCGUAGACGGCAGCGCAAGUCUGAAGUGAAAUGCCGGGGCUUAACCCCGGAACUGCUUUGGAAACUGUGCAGCGAGCGUGCAGUAGAGGUAAGUGGAAUUCCUAGUGUAGCGGUGAAAUGCGUAGAUAUUAGGAGGAACACCAGUGGCGAAGGCGGCUUACUGGACUGUAACUGACGUUGAGGCUCGAAAGCGUGGGGAGCAAACAGGAUUAGAUACCCCAGUAGUC